GGUCUGUCGGGCCGGCAGCGAUGGAGAUGGGGCUCGCCUCCCGCUCUUCCAUCAAAGAUCGGCUCAGUCCGUGCUCUCCUCGAGAACACAAGCUGGUGCGGGGGCAGCCGCUGUGCCCCUGGUGUGGUCGGUAUUGAAGGUGGUGAUUCUUGGAGGUUGUCCUGUGAAGACUGUAGCUGUUGGGAACCACAGGCAGAGCCACCACAGGUGUCCGUGGUACCUAAGGCUGCAGCUAACAGGCUUCAGCCCUGAUUUCCAGUGUCGGGUGCAAAGGAGUAAAGAAGUCAGACAUGACCGAGGUGCUCAGCCAGGCGAGGAUCCAUGUGCAGCUUCUCUUCAAAAUCAAGAAUAUUUGUACGGUAUUAAUUCCUCAGUAGAGAUCCUGGAACUGCACUGGCUUUGCAAAUAAUAAUGAAAAUGAAGAAAACAACUGAUUUGUAUCACACAAGGAAGAGAUCAGCGGAAGCUGUGCCAACUUACACCUGCUAGGGAUUUGGCCCAGUACAUAUUAACAAUACUAAAAGCUCUUCAGAGACAAUUCCUCAGACAGAACAAGCUUAUUCUGGAUUUCUUUGUAUGCAUGUAAUAGAUACUGGGAUUAAUGAAGU